CCUACGGGAGGCAGCAGUGAGGAAUAUUGGUCAAUGGGCGCGAGCCUGAACCAGCCAAGUAGCGUGAAGGAUGACUGCCCUACGGGUUGUAAACUUCUUUUAUAAAGGAAUAAAGUGAGGCACGUGUGCCUUUUUGUAUGUACUUUAUGAAUAAGGAUCGGCUAACUCCGUGCCAGCAGCCGCGGUAAUACGGAGGAUCCGAGCGGUAUCCGGAUUUAUUGGGUUUAAAGGGAGAGUAGAUGGGUUGUUAAGUCAGUUGUGAAAGUUUGCGGAUCAACGGUAAAAGUGAAAUUGAUAUUGGAAGCUUGGAGUACAUUUGAGGGAGGAGGAAUCCGUGGGGUAGCGGUGAAAUG
rnacentral:rRNA from 1 species